rnacentral:misc_RNA from 1 species
ACGAGUUAGGGUCUUUCAGGCCCGACCUCCCAACCCUAUGUUUAUUGAACCUCUGUUGCUUCGGCGGACCCGUCUCACGACCGCCGGAGGACCGCUGCGAGGCGUCCUCUGGCCAGCGUCCGCCGGUGGCCAACCUCUCAAAACUCUUGAAAUGAAUCGUGUCAUAUCUAAGUCUCAUUAAAUUAAAGCA